AGUUUGAUCAUGGCUCAGAUUGAACGCUGGCGGCAUGCUUUACACAUGCAAGUCGAACGGUAACAGGCCUUCGGGUGCUGACGAGUGGCGAACGGGUGAGUAAUGCAUCGGAACGUGCCCAAUCGGUGGGGGAUAACGUAGCGAAAGUUACGCUAAUACCGCAUAAGCCCUGAGGGGGAAAGUGGGGGACCGCAAGGCCUCACGCGAAUGGAGCGGCCGAUGUCAGAUUAGCUAGUUGGUGGGGUAAAGGCCCACCAAGGCGACGAUCUGUAGCGGGUCUGAGAGGAUGAUCCGCCACACUGGGACUGAGACACGGCCCAGACUCCUACGGGAGGCAGCAGUGGGGAAUUUUGGACAAUGGGCGCAAGCCUGAUCCAGCCAUGCCGCGUGCGGGACGAAGGCCUUCGGGUUGUAAACCGCUUUCAGCCGGAAAGAAAUCGCCGUUUUUAAUACAGACGGUGGAUGACGGUACCGGAAGAAGAAGCACCGGCUAACUACGUG
rnacentral:rRNA from 1 species